rnacentral:rRNA from 1 species
AUUGAACGCUGGCGGCAUGCCUUACACAUGCAAGUCGAACGGCAGCACGGGGCAACCUGGUGGCGAGUGGCGAACGGGUGAGUAAUGCAUCGGAACGUACCUUUCAGUGGGGGAUAACGUAGCGAAAGUUACGCUAAUACCGCAUAUUCUGUGAGCAGGAAAGCAGGGGAUCGCAAGACCUUGCGCUGAUUGAGCGGCCGAUGUCAGAUUAGCUAGUUGGGGAGGUAAAGGCUCACCAAGGCGACGAUCUGUAGCGGGUCUGAGAGGAUGAUCCGCCACACUGGAACUGAGACACGGUCCAGACUCCUACGGGAGGCAGCAGUGGGGAAUUUUGGACAAGGGGGGCAACCCUGAUCCAGCCAUGCCGCGUGAGUGAAGAAGGCCUUCGGGUUGUAAAGCUCUUUCGGCCGGGAAGAAAUCGCACGGGCUAAUACCCUGUGUGGAUGACGGUACCGGAAUAAGAAGCACCGGCUAACUACGUGCCAGCCGCCGCCGUAAUAC